AGUAAUCGCGGAUCAGCAUGCCGCGGUGAAUACGUUCCCGGGCCUUGUACACACCGCCCGUCACACCAUGAGAGUUGGGAAUACCCGAAGCCUGUGAGCUAACUUUUAGAGGCAGCAGUCGAAGGUAGAAUCAAUGAUUGGGGUGAAGUCGUAACAAGGUACC
rnacentral:rRNA from 1 species